rnacentral:lncRNA from 1 species
GAGGAGUGAGUGUGCAAGCGGGGUGGGCAAGGGGGAGUGUGCAAGGGGGGAGCGGGCGCGGUGUGGGGUGUGUGUGCAAGGGUGGGUGUGCAAGGAGCGGGUGUGCAGCAGUGUGCGUGCAAGGACUGGGUGUGCAAGGGGCGAGUGUGCAGGGGUUCCUAUGGGGCAGCUAUGGGUCCCUGUGGGGUCUUCAUGGGGUCUUUAUGGGGUCCCUAUGGUGUCCCUAUGGGGUCUCUAUGGGUUCUUAUUGUGUCCCUAUGGGUCCCUAUGGGUCCUUAUGGUGUCCUUAUGGUGUCCUUAUGGUGUCCUUAUGGUGUCCCUAUGGGGUCUUUAUGGUGUCCCCCUGUCCUCACGGUGGCGCUGUGUCCCUAUGGGGUCCCUCAGUGUCCCUAUGUGUCCCUAUGGGGUCUUCAUGGGGUCCCUGUGUCCCCCCGUCCUCACGGUGGCGCUGUGUCCCCGUUUGUCCCUAUGGGGUCCCUCAGUGUCCCUAUGUGUCCCUGUGUGUCCCUAUGGUGUCCCUGUUUGUCCCUAUGUGUCCCUAUGGGGUCUUUAUGGGGUCCGUGUGUCCUCCCGGCCUCACGGUGGCGCUGUGUCCCUCUGUGUCCCUCAGUGUCCCUCUGUGUCCUUGUGUGUCCCUGUGGGGUCUUCAUGGGGUCUUUAUGGGGUCCCUAUGGUAUCCAUAUGGGGUCUCUAUGGGUUUUUAUUGUGUCCCUAUGGGGUCCUUAUGGUGUCCCUAUGGGGUCUUCAUGGGGUCUUCGUGGGGUCCCCGUGUGUCCUCACGGUGGCGCUGUGUCCCCGUUUGCCCCUAUGGGGUCCCUCAGUGUCCCUAUGUGUCCCUGUGUGUCCCUAUGGUGUCCCUGUGUGUCCCUAUGUGUCCCUAUGGGGUCUUCAUGGGGUCCGUGUGUCCCCCCGUCCUCACGGUGGCGCUGUGCCCCCAGGCCACCCGUCGUGCCUGCAGUUCACGCUGGCGAUGGCGGCGGCGGCGCGCUCGUACCGCUGGCAGUGCAUCGAGUGCAAGAACUGCAGCCUCUGCGGCUCGGCGGAGAACGACGUGCGUCCAUUGGCUGCGCGGCCGCCCUGAGCCGCCAAUCGGCCCCCAGCCCCGCCCACUUCCCGCCGUGCACCGC